CAUGAAGACCUAGCGAAGAGUGGGGGUUCUUGGGAGAAGCUGGGGCCUGAGCAUUGUCUCGGACUUGAGAAGGGCAAGCUGAGUAUGGGAAACUGGGAACUGGUAGCGUGAAGACUGCCGUAGUGUGACAAGGCGGGGUGAUUUAGUACCAGAGGCUGAGGAUUGAGAAGGAGCUGCUAAUGGUGACUACGAGGUCCCAGCCUUGAUGCUGCGGAUGGAGAGUGGGGGACACGCCUAAAAACUGCAGCGCGUUGAGCUGACCAGAGACCACCGCAGAUCCGGGCACACCCACAACGGCGCGUGCGCAGACCCGGUGCAUCUACUCUGCCUUCAAACCUGAAUUUUCUAGGCAUUAGAGGAAGAAACCGAUCCCUUUGUUACUAUCUGUGCGCGUGUGUGAGAUAAAUCUGUGCGCUUCUGAAGGAGAGAGCAAAAGGUGUGUCAGAACCUGUUCCCUGCUCUUCCAGGUUGAAGGUCGCCGCUUUCCUACGCCGGGCUAGUGGUUUAGGAGGUGAUGUGACCCCUUUUAUUCUCUAAGGAGAGAGGCCCAGUGACUCAGGGUCACACUAUAGGGUAGAGCUCGCAGCUGUUGAGCGAGGGAGGGCUUGCUAGAACCAUCCGCAAGCUGUCAUCGCCUUUCUUUUCCGCAAGGAGAGUGGGGGUAGGACCGGCUUUAAACUGAAUUCUAAUGUACCAAGAAAAGCAGCCCAGAACAAAAGCCUUGCCUCCUGUGAUUGCCAGGGUGUCCAGACUGGAACUCUAUGGCCAGAGUUCACCAGAUACCGAUGUUCAGUUCGGGGUGGGUUAAGAAGAGAGAGGCAAGAACAGUGAAGGUGUGUCCACAUGUCCAGUAUCAGGAUUCCAAGAACCCAGGCCCUGAUUUGGGAUUUUCUCACCCAAGUCUUCCUACAGAUGUUGAAGCGUGAAGAGCAAAUACUUCCCAAGGUCACACAGCGAGUUAAUGACAGGGUUCGGACUGUCUCCGAACUUUCAGGGAAGGUGACUACAUUCACAGCCAAAAGAGCUAUUUGAAGGGUGGCUGCUGCGGUGCUCCGUUGACCUGGAAGUAACACCGAGAGGGCGUCACCAGCACUUCGAUUAUAGAUGCCGCUGUGCAGCAGUCCUGCUUGGCUGCGCCAGCCAAGGAGCAAUCCCGGAGCCCCGGGGGCUCAACUCUAAACCCGGUAAUCUGAGCCUGCCUCUCUCACCUAGUGGGUUCCUUGUUCAGCUUCUGUUUCAGAACCAGAUCUUUGCAAGGCAGCUGAUUAAAAACUCGUGUUUAUGAUUCUAUACAUGAAAAGGCCUUUCUUCUUGGAUUUCUUUUAGCGGAAGAGGUUUGGAACAGCGUGACUAGAAAUCAGCCUGAAACCUGACCGCCUGGGGAUCCAGCCUGUUGGUCCAGGGUCAGCUUUCCUUUCGCGCAUUUUGCCUCAUUGUCCCCACAGGUCUUGUCUUUGAGUUUACGAUGCUUUGCAUUUUUAAAUUUUUGCAAAGAGCUGGAGUGAGUGUGUGUGUGUGUGUGUGUGUGUGUGUGUGUGUGUGUGUGUGUGUGUGUGUGUAAUAUUGACAACAGGUCCGUCUUUCCCUAAAGGCUUUCCUUUCAUCUUUGAACUUAAAAUAAGAAAGGCCUUAUUUCAUAUUAACUCGAAAGAAGAGCUAAUAGGAAGCAAAAUCAGAAGGGUGCCCAGCGUUUGUUUUUGCCUCUUUAUAGUACAUUCCUCUUCCUCUAUGUCACACACCAGACCCGGAAAAUUUAGGACAAUGUAUUUCAUGAUCUUUACAUACCAAUUAGUUGUAAUGAUGCAUUAAUCUUUAAAAGACAGAGUCUCUGUGCAAAAUCAAAACCAACGUUUGAUUCGUAUAGAGAGGGACCUAAACAGACCCCUUGGAUAUGUGCUUUUACAAAUGUCAGAUUUUUUUCAAGGGCAAGCCCCCAACUGUGCAUUUAUUGUACACAAAGGGUCAUUGUUUUAAGCAACUGAAGUAGUUGGAUAGAAAGAAGAUUUUUCAUAAAUACGUAGUAAAAUUUUUAAAAAUGUAUUAAUGAAAAAUGUAUUUUGACCCAUUUUUUUUUAAAUCGAGGGACAUUAAUUCAGGAUUUUUGUCCAUAGCUAGCCUAUAUCCACCACUUAAAGUUCAGUUCACCACCCCCACAGCUGAGAUGUACGAGGUUUCCUAGGCAACACACGUUUUGCCAAUGAAUGAAAGGGAAUUGAAAGAAAGACUGCAAAGGCUGCAGAUCCCUGGUUAUUUCUUCCCUUACCCUAUCUGCCCUCCUUUCUGCUAGAAAUUGUUAGAAAUAUUGGGAAGUUAUCAUUCCUAACAUUUUCGCGAAGGAGCCAAAUGCCCAGAGAACUGGAACUAGAAAGGGGUCGCAGCCACAUAUAGUAGCCGUGGGUGGGCACCGCUAAAGGGUUCCUGUGCUCUGUGUCUCGGCUCAGCCUGCCCAGCGUUCACCCUCCAAUCCUCUCCUCUCUCCCCUUCCGUCUUAGAAAUGAGUAACGAUUGUGUGGCACAGCGUUCUCCAGAGCUGUCGAAUGAAGGCACUACUUGGGUGGGGGCCUCAGAGCCCCCGUCCUCCUGCUGCGAUGGGGCUCUGUAGGGAUCAGACACUUAGGCAACAAAAGACUGGGAUCUGCAGAGAAAAUUCCGCAUCUUGAAUGCAGCAAAGGCAUGCGGGCACCCGGCACCUUGGUCUUUGUUCCUCACUGGGCUGGGUGUUUUCCCAUGGCCAGUGCUCAUGAAUUUGAAUUUUAAAAGCCUACAUCCAGUCAUCAAACCUUCCACAAAAGAGGGUCGUCUUCCUUGUCGCACAAAUCAGCAGGAGGAGGGGAACCCUUGGUUUUCCAGGGCAUCAGUUCCCUUUCAUGGUCUGCUUCCCCUCCUCCAAUCUCUAGCAA